GGGGUAUCGCCAAGCGGUAAGGCACCGGUUUUUGAUACCGGCAUUCCCUGGUUCGAUGGGGUAUCGCCA
rnacentral:tRNA from 1 species